AUUCUUUUAUAUUUAUAUUGGGACGUAAAUAACUUUCUUUU
rnacentral:tRNA from 1 species